rnacentral:sRNA from 2 species
AUUAACCAAACGCUGAAUUCCCGUUACGGGAAGCGGGGGAACCACUUUUUGGGGUGAAUCCUUUUCAGGUAGGGCGACUCCUUCCGCCCGAACCCGUCAGCUAACCUCGUAAGCGUCGAAGGGGGAGCAA